UACGUAGGGGGCAAGCGUUGUCCGGAAUCAUUGGGCGUAAAGAGCGUGUAGGCGGCUCGAUAAGUCUGCUGUGAAAGUCCAGGGCUCAACCCUGGAAGGCCGGUGGAAACUGUCGGGCUAGAGUCCGGAAGAGGCGAGUGGAAUUCCUGGUGUAGCGGUGGAAUGCGCAGAUAUCGGGAGGAACACCGGUGGCGAAGGCGGCGACCUGGGUCGACACUGACGCUGAGGCCGCGA
rnacentral:rRNA from 1 species